AAGGACAAGAAUGUAAACAACCCUUCUCCAAAUCAUUCCAAACUUCAUUGUAUUGAGGUAACUUUUCGUCUGGCAUUUUGAAGAGCCUUUUACCAAUAGUGAUUAUAUACGUUUGAGUUCCAACUUGAACAUUGCAAAAUAAAAUGCGAAAUUAAAAUAUAAAAUAGAUAAAUAGAUCAAAACCAAACACUUGAAUAGCCUAA